AUCAGCCGGUACUCGCGAAUNCAUCUAGUNAUUAGAGUUUGAUCAUGGCUCACCAUUGAACGCUGGCGGCAGGCCUAACACAUGCAAGUCGAGCGGAUGAGAGGAGCUUGCUCUUCGAUUCAGCGGCGGACGGGUGAGUAAUGCCUAGGAAUCUGCCUGGUAGUGGGGGACAACGUUUCGAAAGGAACGCUAAUACCGCAUACGUCCUACGGGAGAAAGCAGGGGGACCUUCGGGCCUUGCGCUAUCAGAUGAGCCUAGGUCGGAUUAGCUAGUUGGUGAGGUAAUGGCUCACCAAGGCGACGAUCCGUAACUGGUCUGAGAGGAUGAUCAGUCACACUGGAACUGAGACACGGUCCAGACUCCUACGGGAGGCAGCAGUGGGGAAUAUUGGACAAUGGGCGAAAGCCUGAUCCAGCCAUGCCGCGUGUGUGAAGAAGGUCUUCGGAUUGUAAAGCACUUUAAGUUGGGAGGAAGGGUUGUACGUUAAUACCGUGCAAUUUUGACGUUACCGACAGAAUAAGCGCCGGCUAACUCUGUGCCAGCAGCCGCGGUAAUACAGAGGGUGCAAGCGUUAAUCGGAAUUACUGGGCG
rnacentral:rRNA from 1 species